UUGACCUCAAAUCAGGUAGGACUACCCGCUGAACUUAAGCAUAUCAAUAAGCGGAGGAAAAGAAACUAACAAGGAUUCCCCUAGUAACUGCGAGUGAAGCGGGAAAAGCUCAAAUUUAAAAUCUGGCGGUUCUUGUAGCCGUCCGAGUUGUAAUUUAGAGAAGUGUUAUCCGCGCUGGACCGUGUACAAGUCUCCUGGAAUGGAGCGUCAUAGAGGGUGAGAAUCCCGUCUUUGACACGGACUGCCAGGGCAUUGUGAUGCGCUCUCAAAGAGUCGAGUUGUUUGGGAAUGCAGCUCAAAAUGGGUGGUAAAUUCCAUCUAAAGCUAAAUAUUGGGGAGAGACCGAUAGCGAACAAGUACCGUGAGGGAAAGAUGAAAAGAACUUUGGAAAGAGAGUUAAACAGUACGUGAAAUUGCUGAAAGGGAAACGCUUGAAGUCAGUCGCGUUGUUCAGGACUCAGCCUUGCUUUGCUUGGUGUACUUCCUGUUCGACGGGUCAGCAUCAAUUUUGGCCGGUGGAUAAAGGCUUAGAGAAUGUGGCAUCUUCGGGUGUGUUAUAGCUCUGGGUCGUAUACAUCGGUUGGGAUUGAGGAACUCAGCACGCCGCAAGGCCGGGUACUUGUACCACGUACGUGCUUAGGAUGCUGGCAUAAUGGCUUUAAUCGACCCGUC
rnacentral:rRNA from 1 species